GCGGUGCUGAUUAGGGGUUGUUCUUACUCUCCCUUGCAAUUAUUUUGUACUUGUAGGGGUGCAUGUAGGCACGGUCCUUGUGAUGCGGUACGUGAUGGUGUGUGAGUGGUAUUUGGUUUGUGUGGUUGGCGGGCUCUUUGCUUGUGCAUUGGACCGUUCACCAACAUACCUUUUCAUUGUAUGCUGCAAGUGCACCAUUUUGCCUUGGGCGACGUGUGGUCCCUAUGUUGGAUUCCGAUUAACGGUAUUGUUGUUGUCCCUUUAAAGAGUGAUAUUCGCUCUACGUCCGUAAAAGGAGGUCGAGCGGACCAUGAAACUUGACUCGUUAUCCUCCUGUUUUGUGAAAACAAGCAUGAUAGGGUUGGAUUAUGAUCUCAAGUUGGGCCCUAGGAUACAGAAAGUUGUGUGGGAGUUGAUGUAAAAACGUCGCAAACCCAAAGCGUUGGUACGCUAAUGAUGGAUGACAUUCGAGUGUGUUGUGAUUCUUUCAUUCUAGAAAGGUUCAUGCUCGCCGAUGUCGACCAAGGAGUGCUACCUGGUUGAUCCUGCCAGUAGUCAUAUGCUUGUCUCAAAGAUUAAGCCAUGCA
rnacentral:misc_RNA from 1 species